rnacentral:rRNA from 1 species
UACAGAGGCCCCAAGCGUUACUGAGAAUCACUGGGGUUAAAGGGUGCGUAGGUGGCGCGUUAAGUCCGUUGUGAAAUCCCUGGGCUCAACCCAGGAAUUGCUUCGGAUACUGGCGUGCUUGAGGCUAGUAGGGGUCACUGGAACUGACGGUGGAGCGGUGAAAUGCGUAGAUAUCGUCAGGAACGCCGAUGGUGAAGACAGGUGACUGGGCUAGUUCUGACACUGAGGCACGAAAGCGUGGGGAGCGAACGGG